GGAAUUAUCAGAGUAACAAUAGUUCCUGUUACUGACUUGAUAUGGUCUCUGCCAGAAUAGCUUCUCAGAUUAAUGGCCACUCUCAGGGGAAGCAUUUCUCCUUGCAUUGGUUUGCUGGUAUGGAUGGCCCUUAGAUUUUGGCAUGAGUGAUUAUGCAGCCUAUUUGAAGAAAACCUGUUUUCAGGACCUUUUUAAUUAAAUAUGGCCUGUUACAUGAGUUAAAGUGUCAUACGAUACCAUUUUUUGACCACUUAGUUGAUGCCUCUGAAAGGAAGAGAGAAUCAGAUCGCUAAAAUUUGAUGUGUCGUCAGUGUGGAUCCUACUCAGUAGUGUCACAACGAGGCUGAAAAUCAUAUUAAGUGCUUUUAGGACAGAAACGUAAACUGCUCAGGUAAAAUAACCUUAUAAAGAGAAAUAAGCAUAUAUUGCAGAGGCCUUGGCUAGGUUCAUGAUGACACAGGACCUUGUCUGAACAUAAUGAUUUCAAAAUUUGAGCUUAAAAAUGACACUCUGAAAUCCAGUCAGUGUGCCUCACUAGACUUUUCGAUUUCAAGAUUUUCUGCAGAAAAUGUUUUGAAAACUUUGAAUACUUAAAAAUGGCAGGUGUAGUAUUGCACUUUGCUAGUUGCUCAGAUACCCUUUUUUAUUUGUAUAGAUAUUCUGAGUUCCUUUUUUUUUCUACAUGUUGUACGUUGUCGAAAGCUAAAAGGAAACUUAUCCUUGGAUCACGGAAGGCAGAGGCAUUUGGUGAGAUGGAAACAAGGAUGUGUAAAAAUGAGACGACCACCUCUCGGAUUAAAAAAAAAAAGUGCCAGAGUUCUAGGGUUCUAAGUGAUGUCCAGGAAGGAGGAGGAAUAAUAUUUAUGGAGCAUAUAUUAUGGAACACACCAUUAUGAAUGGUUUUUGAUUGAUCUCACAAAGAGCAUGUGCUUUAGACAUUAAUGCAGCGACUACCAUGAAACAGAGUAUUGGAUUACCUAAGGAAAGAAGCAGAGGAUGGAAUUUGAGGCAAUCAGGAUGAGUGAAAAAUUGAUUUGCAGCUGACCUGCAAAUGGAAUCAUCAGGAACAUCCCUUUCUCAUGGAGUCCCUUAAUUUACAAGUUAACUGCAAACAUAGGAGAUGAUAGUUCCAAGAAGGAACAUUUUAUCGUCUUUGUUUUUAAUCUCAAGAAUGGUACCUACCAUCAGUGAAUGACCUGUUGCAGUGCUUUCAUUGAAGUGUUCUUCGUUCCCUCAGCAAUAUGAUUGUGAUGACUGAAAAAGGGAAACUGUGCCACUAUUUGUACCAUCAUUUUCACCAAAAUCUAAAAAUGCUUUUUAUGACGUAUGGAGACAUUCUUCAUGUUUGUUUCAGUGGACACUCCUUGCAGAUGUAAAAAACUGAGAAAACUCACUUUUGGAAAGUGACCUAAAGAGUGUCAUUGAAGUGAAUUUUAAGUAGGCACGAUGAUUGUUUUCAUGGUUGCUGUUGGAUCAUAUCUCAGGAGCUGGAAUGACAGACAUUAUUGAACAAAGAAAUCAGGAUAGUGGAACUUAAAGGGCUUCAUCUCAGUGCUUUCAUAAGUAUGAAGUGCAUAUAUUUAUAAUUUUCACUAAUCACAGGAAUAUUCCCUCUGUAUACUUGCAUUUUUUUCUAUCAAUUGACGCUUACAAUUAUUUUUGCAAGUUGGAAAAAAAUGCAGUAUUAAUUUCAUUUGCAACAAAUUUAAUAGAUUAAUUAGGAGAGAAUAGAUAUCUUUAAAAUUGAGUCUUCUGUCCAACUGCAAGUUAUAGCUGAGGUGGUACCAGUUUAAGAAGUGAGAACUUCUUCACUGACUGAAAUUUGCAUAUCAAUCCAAAUCAUUGUGCUUAUUUACUAUUUUUGUAGACGUCAUUCUUCAAAAGUGCUGCAUCUUCAAUAGUCAAGGAGGACAAAGACAUCUUUCCUGCAGGUGGUGACCAUGUGGAUAAUAGGAUCAUAGACAAAUGGUGGUUCCAUCUACAGCAUCACCGAAAUGCUGUUGUUACUGCUUCUUUCUGGGAUCUUCUUGCAUCUUUGCUUCUAAAGGGGCACACCUUUUAUAGAAGUACGUCCAGGAAUAGAAGUGACCUGCUUUUUCGCAAGUAAUUGCCUGGAAUGUUUUUAUGUACUUCUCUGCACUCUCAAUACAUUUCAUGCUUCCCUCUAUUUUUGUAUAUUAACUCAUUGUAUUUCUUAAAUUUAUAUUUUACUUUAUGAAUGGAAGUGAGAUUUGUGUAUGGUAAAUAUAAUUAAUUCAACCCCAUGGAUACGUUAGUCACUGUCCAGAUGAUGGCAAGUCUUUCUCAGAAGCAGAGGGCCUUGGUGUGCCAGUGAUUUUUUUUCCCCAUGUGUAAGAUACUUUUUUUCCUCAUUUGAAUCAGGAGCCCACAGUUUUUAGACAAGUCCCAAAUGAAAUCUUAAGCAUUUGUGUUAUCUGGACUAGACCUUCUGUAGUAUCCUUUUUGUUAGACCUAGUAUAUCUCAUUGCAGAUCAGGAUCUGAGAUUGACUAUAGUUCACCUCUUUCCAAGUACACAAACUUGGAUGACAUGACAACUGAGUGUGUAAGGGAGAGCGAGACCCUUGCACUGCCAUUUGAGCCCUUGUGAUCUCAUCUUGUAGAACAUGUUGUACAAUCAUUUUAUUGGUAUCAUUAGUGUUAUUUGGGGCUGGAAUAAAAAUCUCAGUGCACCAAA
rnacentral:lncRNA from 1 species